AUGCAGAAGGACGAGCCCCAGAGCCAAGUGGACAGCUCAGUCCCCAUGAGUAAUGAGACCUUGCUGUAGGAGCUGCUCCAAGGAAGUUAGAUACAGAUGAUGCCAGUCAAAAACUUCUGCUAUUUUUAUUGAUGCUGGUGAAGAAAUUACUCCCAAGAAGACUUACAUGUACCUUAAGGCUCCUCAAAAUUUACUCGAGUCCAUGUUCAAAAACAAAGCUAGAGCACCAGCUGUGGGGUUACUAUCAUGUGGAACAGCCAUAACUGUUGGCAGCAGAAGACUUAAAUAUGAUACUCAGUUAAAAAGACACAGAAGUUUUGUUUUCUGAGCCACAUGUGGAAAUGUAUUUCAUGGACAGAUUAGUAAGUCUGAAAUAGUAGGAAAAUAUUGCUCACGUCAUGAAAGCCCCCACCAACCCCCUAUUAAAAGGUAAUCUGUUGCUCUCAUUCUGCAUACCAUUUCACACUGAUGGAGCCUGUGUGUUCAUGAGAGAGAAGAAUGGAGAAGUCCAGAAAAAAAUUUGUCGAUAUCCUAGGCAAGGCGAUGGCUACUGCUGACACACUGGAUCGGGACAAACUUCUUUUUUCUUACAAAGGGAUUCUCUACCCUGUUAGUUUUUGCAGUCCUGAAGUGUUCAGAAGCAUGGAGUCUCUUGAAGCCAGAAGUGAUGAUAUCAUUUUGGCAGGAUACCCGAAAUCUGGUACAAACUGGGUAGGCCAAAUCUUAAGUGAUCUGGUAGCCAUAUUUGAAAAGAAAACACAGAAUAAAGAAAGCAGUGAGAAUGAUGAAAAUCUAGAAGAAUUUCCCUAUCUUGAAAUGGGAGAUACUGAGAAAUAUGAGCGAAUGAACAAAUUACCUUCUCGAAGAGUUAUAUUUACUCAUCUCCUCCCUGAAAAUCUUCCCAGGUCUAUCUUCAAAAACAAAGCCAAGAUAUUGUUACUGCUUCGCAAUCCAAAAGAUGUGGCUACAUCUUUUUAUCAUUUUUCCAAUGGCAUAUCUACUCUUCCUUCUUAUGAGACCUGGGAUGAUUUCUUUGUAGCUUUCAUGACGAAGAAAAUGGCCUGGGGAUGCUACUUUGAAUACCUUUCCAAAUGGAACAAACAUGCUGCUGAUGAAAAUAUUAUGACAAUAACUUAUGAAGAGCUAAAAGAGAAUCCAGUCCUGGGUGUGAAAAACAUAGCUGCUUUCUUUGGGAUUCCCCUGACUGAGAAAGAGCUUCAGAGUGUGGUAGAGAGGUGCAGCUUCCAGUCAAUGAAGAAGAACUCACAGAAGACCCACGGGGCAUUUGGCAAUAUUCUCUUUCGCAAAGAUAAGAUCUAGAACAGCAAAGAUGCAGCCAUCUUCUACUUCUGCUUGUGCUCCUGGGAUGAGUACUUCACAACUUUAUGAAUGGGAGAGUGUCUUGGGAAUUGUCGUGGCUGUGCAGUUGAAUGAAACAGGCAUUUCAGUGAUGGAUAUAUAAAGUCAAUAAGGGUCCAAUAUGUUGUUAUGGAAUUUAAACUGCCUAAGACUGAACUGAAGAGUUAACUGUAAAAUAUGUAUUCUACAGAUGGAAUGGAAAACUGCAUUUCAGUAACACGGUUUCCUCAGUGGAGCUGGAACCCAAAGACUUUUCACAGCAAACCCACUCAGGGAAAACUGUGAAGCCUACAGAAACACUGUUGUAACUCUGCCAAUGGAACAGCCAAAACAUAAUUCUGUACAAAUCCUGUAUCAGAAUCAGAUGCUGGGAAUGAAAAGUGUAGCUGAAUUCUCUGGGCCUCCUUGACUGAUCGAGAUUGAAGCAGCUGUAAAGAAGACCAGUUUCAAAGCUAUGAAAGAGAAACACUCAGAAACACAUAGCCAUUUGGGAAUAUUUUUUUCAGAAAAUGUGACCUGACAAUUCUUUGUUGUGAGCUGUAAAAAAAUCUGUUCUAGUUCUUAGUAUUAAUAAUAUCUAUCACAAUUGUGCUUAGCUCAUCUUAUAUAGAAAAAUGUGUGGAUGCAUUUACAGAAUUAUACAAAGUAGCACUGAGGUUACCUAGAUUCAGCUACCUAAAAGUUAAAUUUUGAAAUCAGACUAGUGUCCUAGGAAUCUUCCUAACAGAGGGAGGUGCGUGCUUCCAGAGGAAAGUUCAUUACUCUAUUGUUAGACCUCUGUCUUGGUGUAUUGCCUUCUGGGGGCACCCAUUCUUCCCUGAGACUGUUUUACCCUCUGAGGAAGUCUAAUUAAAAGAUACAACAAUUCAUUUAUCACUUCUUUAAGAAUAAUCUGUUGAAGGGUUAUGUUAUGGGAAAAUGGGCCAUAUUUUUUAAAACUUAUUGUGAAUCAUAGCUUGUCAGCUGAGCAAUAGUGAUCAAUUACUUCAUACUCCUCACCAUAUUAAUCCUAGGUUUUCCUCACCAAGGCUAAACAGAUAGGUAACCUGCUGUAUUUGAGUUCUGCAGAAUGAGCUGAAAUCUUAAAAUUUUAUGUACUGGUAAAUACAAAGUUUGUGUGACGAAAAAAAAACAAAAACACUUGUAUUUUCAUAUCCUAGUGAGAAAUUCUGUUAACUCCGCAAGUGUUAUGUUUGCUUUUAGAUGAAGCUGUAUGUGACUUAUUGGACAUGAAGAAGUAUUUAAUAUCUUGAACUGAGUUUAAGCAAGAAUUACAGUACACAAAUGUAACAUUUUUCAUCCUGUAAACCACAGCUCAGGUGCUGCCUAACCCCAGAGGUGAAACAACUAAUUUUUUGUCUUAAAGGUCUCUAGACACCCAAGCUCUGCUUCAAGACAUGUCCAAGCACUCUUCUGUCUUAACAGGCUCUGAGCCCUGGGGCUUCUUGAAACUAUGUACAGCUCAUUUGAACUUCACAGUAAGAUCUCAUCUUUCCCUUAUACUCAGCACUUUUGGAAUAUGAGUGCUCUUUAUGACCUUCCAUCUGGGCCACUCCAGAUGGAAACAGCUGAAAAUGCUGAUAAUUUUUACAAACCUUUUGUAAAGCUAUAGCAUGUAGGCUUGCUUCUCCAGAAAAGCAUUCAGUACAAUAAAAUACUUGCUAAUACUGGUCUGCCUACACAAGCCCAAAAGAACAAUCUCAGUUUUACUAAAAUUUUAUUUUUAGCCUAUCACUUUCAAAAUGCUUUCUUCACUUCAGAAUUAUUUGCAGGCUGAAUGGCUCACAACAGCUCUUCUGGUAAUUGCAACCUGGUUCAAAAUUCUUGGCACUGGUCUAAGGAAAAAUGAGCCAACCUGAGAAGCAGGGUCUCCUGGUGGCCUGAGGGGAAACAUUGACAGGAGGCUAAGGCACUGCUGAGAAGGCAUUUGAAAGCUAAUGGCAUAUGAAAUAGUGUAUAUGUGUUGGUUAAUAAAGCAUAGCAUAAUUAUCUGUGUUCUAUGCAAAAAGAUUCAGGAAGAAAAAUAAAUUUCCAUUUCUAACAGCUUCUCUUCCAGGAACCUAAAUUUACAGACUUCCCACAGAAACUUAAUUUAAAGGCCACUUAAAUCUUAGUGACAUUAUGAAAACCAGCCUACGCUUUACACAGAGUUGCUUCUGAACACAGUUCUUCAGCUGCUCCUUGUCUGGCAUGCUGAGAAGUGCUGGUCAGUUCUACAUGGGAGUUCUAGUUUCACCCUGUUCAAAGAAUAUCUGAGUAAUAUGCACUUGGGGUGGUAUCAUGAACCUUCUCUAUAGUGACAAACCUCCCUGGGUGGCAAAAGUUGAGUCUGAUUUUAGAUGGUCUUAAUCAACUUCUAGUCUCUACUGGCACGACAGCAACUGCAUUCUUGCUUGAGAUGCUACAAGUGCUGAUGAAGAUGAGGGUGAUUUGUGUCAAACUGUGCCCAGUACCAGCACUGGCCUAUCCCUAUCUACAUCCCAUUAGGCAAGAGUGAUUCUGAAGUGAGUGGGUAAAAGGGAAAGCAAUCGGGUCCCACAUGUAUAAGAGAGCAGAUCACUAGGGAUUUUGUGGUCAGGAGACUAGAAGUUCAAGCUGUUUCUAGCUGUAAAAGCUACAUCCCCCGUAUACCUUUGUUUUUCCAUCUGCCUGUGUGCCUUUUACUGCAAUUGUCUCUGUGAACACAUCACUUAGAGCAAAUCUUAUCAUUCGUGUGCUUAUUCUCAACUUCUUGGGCAGUAUGUACCUGUCCUGCAGCAGCACAGAGUUACUCUUUGACCAGCAUCUACUAAGAUAUUUUCAGCUUACCUUUAGAAAUGUUCUUGCCUAGUUUUCUGCCAUUUGGGGAGGAAGAAAGGAACAGGUGAAACAUCCUUCAAGCUUCAGCAGAUGGUUGACUGUGACUCCCAGCUGCAUACCAGAUCAGGGGAAGUCACACAGUUCAGCCAGUGUGAUAUAUAUACACACACAUGGAGCAAAAAGACUGCCAAAGACAAGUAAACUCAGCUGAAGAAUCAGCUGAAACAUAUUACCUCAAGAACCUUUAUUUUCGGCAGUUUUUGUACUGCUGUGAAGCCACCCUUGGUAAACUAUCCUUGAAAGCACAUAGUGUAAAUCCAGUUGCCCAUGUGUUGUUGCACAUUGUCAUUUGUCUGUGCUUUGUUCUCCUUUAGGGGCACUUGAUCUGUACAGCCUCUGAAAGUCUGCUUGUCAUGAUGGCCCACACUUCUAGCUAACAGGGUGCAAAAGGACCUUACAGGCAAUGUAUUCUGAGAGGAAGGGCUUGUUUCCUGCCUUAGGCACAGAAAAUCUCUGCUGCUAUAGCAUCACUAUGCCAUGGGCAAGAUAACUCAUCCCAGGAGGUCACUGAAUAGUGUUUGGCAAGGGGCUGAUUUGUGCCGAAGCCAGCUUGGUAACGUAAUUUUAUUGCAUUGAAGAUGUCAUUUGGGACUCCCAGCCAGAAUCAAAGGCCUGAGAAGAUUAUUCUAGCCCCAUGUGUCUGGUUUAACCUGUUGUGCAAUCUCACACAUGCACAGAUAUGUUGAACCACACUACAUAGUCUCUACAUAGAAGAACUGUGGUAUUAAUAUUUUUAAACUAGUUUUAAAAAUACCUCUGAUAUUAUAUCUUUUAAGUUUUUCCAGGUGGACUUUGUUUUGUUGGUAUUAUAACUAAGUUUAUCAGUUGAGAGCUUUUAUGGUAUUAAUAAAAUAAUUUAUUAGCAGAGAUAGAAUAUUUAGGCAAUGCAGUAUUUAUUUUAUCCAAGUUUUAAAAGAUGAUGGUACUGACUGAAUAUAGAAAAUGUUCAUAGAAUUUGAUAGGAAUGAAACUAAAAGGGUUCCCUAAACUAAACAGGAGAGUUAUAGGAGUAGUUGUAAACACAUAGGGAAAUAUAUAGUCUCCAGAGUCUAUGACUGUUUAUAAAAUAGUUAACCCUAUUGAAUUCCAUAGCAAGAACAGCAUUUCCUAUUAAAUACUUGCAUUAAAACAAACAAACAAACAAACAAAAAGAAACAAACAAAAAAAACAAACUUAGGACUUUUUUUGAUUUCAGGUGUGCUGUGCGUGUAAAACUCCCACCAACACUGGCAGUAAUGAGGGCACAAGCACACUGGGGAUAUGGGCCCAUUAAAAUGGCUCAAGCUUCCAGUCAGGCCAUUAGUUAUUGAAUCUAGUGGAUGUGACUCUUGUUUCUACUCUACCUAUAUACAGUAUUAAUUUGUGUCUCACAGAUCUGCAUUACUUUCAAAAGACAGAGGCAGAAGACUUUAAUGUAGCUUCCAGAUCCUUUGAUAAGCUGCUGGCAUUUUCAUUUCAGUAGAGCCUUGCCUUCCCCAUGUUCUAGCAGUAGCACGGUAACCAUGCACAGCUGUUGAUGCUUUUAAGAGACAUUCCUGUGUUCUUAAAUCGUUUGCUGUGAUGUUUCAAAAAGUACACCAGAGGGCAAAAAUUAUUAACUGCUUUUCAAAGCCAGGCCAGCAGGAAUGGGUAUGCAGAGCCCUGCGUGUCCCUGGCCUAGGUGUGAGCUGUGUUUUGGGUGAGGCUGAUGGGUUUGUUUGCGCAGACAGGCCUCACCCGACCUGGUGCUCUGGGCUCCUUCUGCACCGUUGUUCUGGAGACCAGUCCUCCUCCUCCUGACUAAACACAAACCAGAUGGUACCUCCCAAAGUGAACAAAUGCUUCUUUCUUUUUUUAGUGUGAGGGUAAUCCAUACAAAAUGUUAAAAAUGCAAAAUACAAAAAGUAGCAUGAUAAAUGUAGUUCCACGGCAAAGGAAUCACAUGACUAUGAAAAGACUUGUUAGAUACAUCCUGAUAAACAAUCAGGCUGCUUUAAAUAUCCUUACCAGGAAAAAAGAAAGAAGGAGUACAUUUUCCCUUUGAAGUUUUGUCAAGUGUAGCAAUCACAGAUUGUACUGUUUUUACUAACCUAAGUACCUUACAGACCUUUUUUUCAUUUUUGUUGUUUUUCUGCAAGGCAGCUAUAAACAGAGAGCAUAGCUACUCACACUUUUGGGUAUUUUGCAGAAAGCAAUGUUGGAGAGGAUUUUGGAUAUAUUCUGCCAUUGUCUUCUGUAUUGCAGUGCUACAUGUGGGCAGGAUUUCCUGUGCCAAAAGAAAUGAGAGGACUCCUCUGUGCUAUUAUUAUCACCAAGAAUGACUGAUUCUGUUGUAGCAAUAGUAAAUGUAAAGUACCAGCCAUGAUGGGUCUGAUUUUUCAAUUGCAUACUGGAGGGUACAUGUGAGGAAAAAUCAUUGCUGCAUCUGAUUAUCUUGUAUAGCAUUAGAUGACAGAAAAUUAAGUGCUUUAUAAAUCCAAACUACCUAAAACAUGGGUUUUCUAAGGCUUAACUAGUUUCUUCCAAGUCAGACUUAUACCCUUGGCGGCUGGUGAUUGUCACCCCAUAAACAGAGACUGACAUUUGUACAGCCUGUUCAGCCAAGACCCAAGAAGGAACAUCAUGGAUGUUGUUUCAUCUCCAGAUGUUCUGUGUGACAACUCCUCACCACAGCUCAGAUGAAGUCCUUUGAGGCCAAAGCAAGACGAUCUGAAGGAAUGCUGACAAAAAGAUUAAAAUGUUCAAUGUAUUUUACACAAAUUUGAACAUCUGUGGUGCUCAAGGAGGAUUCCAUGGAGCUCUGUAAAUGUUGUUACAUGUAAUUAGCUCCACAGCAUGGGUGCAUUAUUGUCCUCAGUUUAUGGCUAGGGAGAUUGGCACAGAAAAGAUAAGCAAUUAGCCUUUGGGAAACAAAAAUGUUUUAUACCCCAGAAGGAAGCUGAACCCAAGCAAGUCAAGCAGUAAACCUGUCCAUCUCUUAUUUUCCAUAACACCAUUUUGUAGAACUACUGUUUUUAAUUUGGAGGAGAUGGCAAACAACAUUUCUUGGUUACAAAGUAGUGUUGUGCUUUAUAGCAGUAAGACAAGAAGGGAAGCACAUUUCUUAGCAGAUUUCUUUCUCAUAGGUAUCUAAUAGCAAUUGCCAAUACCAAGAACAUGAGGCAUGAACUGAUGUGAUUCAUUAUUCAGGCAUCAAAAAGGAGAAGGUUGUUUUAAAGGCUGUGUGAUUCCUUUUAAAAGGCUAUUUCUCUCUUUUGACUUCUAGUUUCUGAUUCUGUGUGAUACACUUAAAAUAUAUUUUUAGCUUUUCUCUACAACCACUGGAAUUAGAGGCAUCACUAUUGUUGAGAAUGAAACAUGAAAUCCCUUUCAGAAAGAAGCUGGGGUUUCGGGAAAAGGCAGUUUCUAUGAGGCUUGUCAUAGCCACAUGGCUCAGUAUUAUUUUUGCUUCCUCUAGCUGAAUAAUAUUUUAAAAUAUCCAUAUCUCUGCAUGAACAACAUGAAAAGAGAAAGUGAACAGGAUCUUUCUGCUGCUCUCAGAUCACACAGCUGUUAACACUUCCAUCUAAGAUGUCUGACGCAGGUCUCUGGGUUGUGAUCUGCUGAUGAGACCGGAGACAUCUCCUAUGUACAUGGCAAUACCCCCUGGCCCUGGCAGACACCACAAUGCUUAGAGAGAAGUGGUGGCUGCAAGAAAAAUUUCUCUCUGAUAUGGCUUCCAUUCAGGAGGCCCAAGGCUUCCUUGUACCACUGUUUUGAUAUAGUGUACGUGACUUUAUUGAAGCAAUUGGUGUUGCUCCAUAUUUAGAAGUUGUCCCUUAUCACACUCAUGCAACCCCCAUUGUUGCCUGGAGAUGCACAGAGACAACCAGACACUGAGCAGCACUGGUUAACACAAGAGCAGCAAGUGCUCUGCCAAACAUUUAGGAAAGAGAGUGCUAGGCUUAGGGGAAUUCAACUUGACUUCCAGAUCCUAGCCUAAGCUUUGAAGCUGUUAAAAAGAAACAGAUAUUUUUUGAAGUGUCAUAAUAGUAAAAAGUCUUUUUCAAAUUUGUUUUGAAACUUUUGACACCUGAAACAGUGUAAAACACCUAGGAACAGAUGUGUUGGUCUUCCUGCAUGGGAAGGAGCAACCCCAUGGAUGUGAAGAGGUUUAUCAGUUGAAGGUGAAAGUGUCUGUGUGCUUCACACAGCCAUGGUCAAUUUUACCCUUGCUGCAAGGAUGAAAAGCAGUGGAGCAGAGCAGUGGGAUUUCUGUCUGAAUCCAGACACAAGCACACACACGUGGUCCAGGAAUGGGCAGCUGGGUUGGGAGGUCCCACGGUCAGGGCCAGCAAGAUCAUGGCAGUGGUGAAUGGGCUCCAGGGCUCCUCUGACACUCCAGAAUAGCCAUGAAGGGCCAACAGUCCUGCGGAUCCUUCUAAGUCCCACCACUGGCAAAUGGCACUAUCUCAAGCUGGCUGAGAAGAGAAGGUAGUUACAAACUCACAAGAGCUUUACAGAGCCAGUGGUCAAAGAGUGUGGGGCAAAAAAUUCCCUCCUGAAAGGCUGAGCCCUCUUUUGGAUGUUGGUUAGUGUGUACCCUUCUCACAGCAUGAGAGGAGUGAGCAAAUGGUCUGAGAGCAGGUGAGUUUUACAAUGUCUGGCAACAGGCAAGCAUGGUUGGUCCUGUGAAGUCUGGGCAAGUAAUGCAAGAGCAGACGCUAGGUUCAGAAUCCAUUUGAAGGGACACUAUCUAAUUUCUAUAUACUACCAUAUUAUCAAAAAUUACUAAUUAAAUAAACUAGCUGUUACACUGAAUAUUUAGAGAAAGUUUUGUGGGAAGGAAGUUUUUGUAAUUCCAAAAAACAGCAGAAUCAGAGGAAAUGGCAAGUAACCCUUGGAGACAACACUGAAAUUUUGUUUAUAUGGAAGUGAAAUGGCCAGAGCUUGGUGAGGUAGAUGCCUGCAGUCCACUGGGAAAAGACAGUGCCCUGCAGAGUGGCUUUCCAGCUCCGGCAGAAAAAGAAUCUUGCCAUGAGACCUCUGUGGCUCUAUGAUUUUGUGUAUGCACUACAGUUCUCCUUCCUUAACCCAUCUUUAGGAUACCAGCCAGCUGUUAAUGCCAGCAAACGAAGGCGACGAGCUGCGGGGGGUGGGGGGAGGGAGAGGGCUCUGAAUUUUGUUUGUGCUGGUUUUGGAAGAAGAGUAGAGACACUGCUGGUUUUUGCCUGCUCUGGGCAGAUUCCCAGCGGCUUGCACAGCAUUGCGUGGUGGCACUGUGGAGAAUGUAGAAACAGGCAGAAGGGAAACUGCAGAAAUGUACGCUCUGGGCUGGAGUGAUGCAAACAUUGGAUUCACCUCUCUGAGGGUUGUGGUUGCAAACUCAGCAGCGUUUGUGCAUUAUAGAGAUGCAAGAUAGAAGGGACCAUCUGGUUAGUGGUGUCCUGCUUUUUGUGAGGCUCCUUCUGACUGGCCAAUGUCUGAGAUAUACAGGGGCAGCAAAGUCAUGACCAAGCACAGAGUGAAUCCCACUGGAGCUACUACUUUGUAAACUACAGGAUUAACUGAGUUAGAGAUACUCCAAAUACUUAAUUUCAUGUUAUUAAAGACUGGAUACUCCUUCAGGUGUUGCAACAUUUGGAACAUAUUGAACAUUCUAAGUCCUGCAUUCAGGGCUUUAUCUGUAGUCAUUUGGAAAGCUAGACCUUGGCAAUGCUGUUUGAAAAGCCUCCCUGAGCCAGGAACCCAAAUGAUGCUUUUACAUUCUGAUGAGACAUGGGAACAUCCCAUCUGUGUGGCAAAGCUGCUGUUGCGUCUGGUCCCUCUCAGCCCAGCACUGCCUUAACAGACACUGUCAUACAAAUGUUCACACUAAAGGGAUUCCUAUCCUCCCCACUCUCCCCCAGAUCCAAACCACUAUAAAUACAGUGGUGUGACUACAUUAAUGAUCUGGGCACUGUUAUUUGACAUUGCAUAAUGAUGAGAAAAUAUUCAGACCUCGCAAAGUCAAAAGCCCAGGCUGCUCUUGCUUUAAGGGAUGAGCACUAGGUGUCACUGCAGGCAAGGAAAAGGCAUCAUUUGAGCUGGACCCCUUGAGGAUCCCAGGAACUGCCAGGGAAAAAUGUCAUUUUUAUUUUUGCAUUUGAGAAAAAAAUAGAUUUUGAUGGUGACAGAGAAAUAAAGAAAAAGACAAAGAGGUUAUAAAUACAGAUAUAAUUAUUAAAAUGUCAUAUAAAUUUUAUGUAGAUAGCAUAUUUUAUUCAGAAGGGAAAAAGAAUUUGUAUGGUCAAUUGCAGUCUAUUCCAGAAUUAUCUUUUUUAGCACACAGUAAUAGAGUCCUCAUCUUGUUUCAGCUGAAGACUGUCAUCUGUCAUGCUGAAAAGCUCUGCUGUGUUGAAACUACUCAAUAUUAUUUCCCUAAUUAACAGCAACUUUAGAUAACUGAUGUUACACCAUUUAAGACAGUUGUGGCAUGAGAGAUUAGGGAACACCAAUAUGUAAGUGCAGAGCAUACUAAACCAGAAACAAACCUGUGGAAAACAUCCAUACCUCUGCAACAUCUCAAACUUCCUUGUUCUCUCAUCUUUCUUGAACUUUUAAACCUUUUCUCCCAGUUUCUUUCCCUCUAUGUCCUAAAUAUGCUUAUCUCCUCUCCUUUUCCAAUCUAAAUGUGUUCUGAAAUGAUUGCAGUUGGAAAAAUUAGAGUGAUGAAAUAUAAGCUUAGAGUAAAUGAAUCUUUGCAUUUCUUCAUGUCUGGAUUUCAUAAUUUGCUGAUUUGUGAUGUAGAAGAGCAGCAUGAAUGAGAAACAAAGUUCUGGCAAUGCUUUUUUUUUCCUUCUUUCUGUCUUUUAACAAAUAAUACCCCCCCUAAAACCUUACAUAGCUCCCUUGUGAGUUCUUCCUAUGCUAAUUAAGUUCAAAUGAAAUGUAGAGGCUUUUAUUUACUUUUUUAUUUAUUAAAUGUGUCCAGACAGCCUCUGGCUACCAUUAGAAAUUUGCAAAUAAAACAGAUGGCUUGUUGAUCUGUGUCAGCUCAGCUCAGAGUCCCCUCCAGGAUAAACCAGACAUGCUCACCACCACGUCCUCAGUCAAGGGCCUGAGCAAACAGUUGAGCCAUGCACCCUGCCCAAAAAAUCAACAAACUGGGAUACUGGCAGACCAGUGGAGGAAAUGAAAUUCACAAGUAGACAGAACUCCUACUGGUGAGUAGGUAGGAGGCAUUUCCAUUCUGAAAUGCCCCUGCUAAGAAUGACAGGUAAAAGAAUAUCCCUGCUGGCCUUCUGCAAAAAGAAUGGAAUCGGGAGGUGUUUUGGGAUCUGCAAUGUCUUCUGCCAGCGGUGGACUCGAGGCUGAGUUCUGCGCUCACCCACUGACAGGAGUACUUUCCACCGAAACGGGUGGGUAAUAAUGUAUCUACAAAGGUUCCUUGCAGGGCUGAAGCUCGAUGGAUAAGGCUGUUGAUUUUGCAGUUUCAGGGAAAGGAUACAGAUUCAAGGCCCUGAGUGAGCUGCUCUUGACCCUGCCUUCAGUAGAGGGGCUGAGCUAGAGACAUCUAGUCUUCCUCACCUUCCUUACCUUCCCACCACCUCACCUUCCCACCUUUCUCACCUUCCCACCACCUCACCUUCCCACCUUCCUCACCUUCCCAUCUCAGGGGUACUAUGACCCAGAAAGUCUUUUCCAAUUCUAAUUCCCAGGUUCAUAGGUUGUGUUACAGAGAAAAGACAGAGAACUUGUGAUUCUGGUUUACACAUUUGUAGAGGAGAAAAAAAGAGUGAGUUCAAAGACGUUGUAUUAAUAGUAGGACCAAAGCACUCUAAGAAAAGAAUGUGACCUCGUGGUGGCCUGCCAAAUUUGCUCUACUUUAGUUUAGAAACUUCAUCUAUUUUCACCCCGUUACUUCAAGCGCAAAACUAUCCUGUUAAGAAUGGGUGUUAGCAGGUUAAAGAGCUGCAGGCUGAUAAAUGCAGAUGUCCUCAGUCAAGCCUGAUGAGAGGCACUUACAUGCCACAUGGGCUGCUAACAGGACAAUCUAUCAACUCUGUAGGUGUCCAGACCAUAACUGAGGUAAGCUGGCACAUGACAGGCAAUUAUUAAUAAGCUGUGCAUAACAAGAUGUGUGACACACAACUAACAUCAGAUGCUGUCUUCUUCUUAUUGAUGUUGUAAAAAAAAUGGUUCGAAGGUGAGCUGAGGUAAACUGGAAAGUUUUGGGUUGCUGGAUUUUUUUUUUAAGGUUUAACAAUUUUGUAUGUAAUUAUUGAGUCAGAAGAUCAUGCAGUUAUAAAGAAUUUAGCUUAAAAUAAUGGUUUUGUUAAUUACUUGUGCUGUUUUAGGUCAAGGCCUACAUUCAGGGUUCAGUUCCCUGAGUAAGAAGAAUGUCUUGCAAACAACUUGAAACAGAGCAUUUUGCUGAAUUCUCCUGAAUUCAUUACUAUAGAGUAUGGGUUUGCUGCUUUCUUCUGACUCAGUGACAGCAAGGGCUACUGUUUCUGUGUCAGUCCUUAUGAUCUUGGUAUGUUUGGCACCAUCCCAUCAUUCUCCUUUCUGCUUCUGUUUUCUGUCCCAUAUUUCCUCUCUUAGCUUAUUUUCUUUCAUUUGGUCAUGUUCGUGUCUUUUCCAUAAACUUCAUAUGCUUUCCUCAUUUUUCUUCUCUCCUUGAACACAAGCUGUCCUUUAGCAGGACCAGUUCUGUAAAUAUGUGGGUCCUGCUGAAUCACUUGUUAAUAUCAUCCCCACAGACUUCUUGAACAACUGUUUCCAAUUGCACAUCAGCACAUCACAACUGCCAAAAAUGGCACUCAAAGGGAAACAAACUGCCACUCAACAUGCCCAGCAUGACACCAAACACAUGUGAUGUCACUCCACAACCACAGGACUUACUGUUAUUUUGUUUUGAUUUUCCCCAGCCACUGGUAUUGGACUAGAAACUUCACAAGAAUGGUUAUUUAAUGGCAGCAAUACAAGGCAGAUAGUCUGGGCCUUAGAAAGCUGUGAUUUGAUUUUGCCCUGGCCAGUCUGAGAGUCAAAGGACCUGACAUGACACAGGCUCAGACAAAAAGAAGACAUAUCAUGGUGAUUUCAUAAGAGGAAUUGAGCUUUUAUAAUAAACUUAGGGACAACAAGAUGAACGGCAAAGGUUUAAAAGAGCAUGUGGUGCGAUACCACCUACUUCUCUUCUAGGAUAUGUUGGAAAAUAUUUGUCUUUUUUACUCUAGCUUGGAGCACAACAAAGCUCUGUCCUUUCUUAUUAGUUAGGAGAAUCAUAUGACUAAUCAAAAUACAGAGCUUGAUUUUGACUAUAUAAUGUAUAGUCUCUUUCUAGCCCUGAGCCAGCAGUCACUUGAGUACUAUCAUGUACUGUACACUGCAGAGUAUUUAACCUAUGCCUUUUCAACAAAGUAUAACACAGAAGCUAAGAAGAGCAGAGCUAGAUCCAGAUCAAGUGGAGUGAGAUGGACAUGGCUCUGUAAUGGCUUCUUCUCUUAAAGAAGAAAUGACCAGAGCCUCCCAUGCUAUCUUUUCAAAGAAAAAAAGACACUGUCAUCAGUAUUACCUGCUUGAGCUAAAAUUCAGAGGAAAUAAAAUUGUAAUCUCAUAUGGCUUUCUGUAAUGAAGAGGUGCUAGAGAACACAAUGAGCUUCAAAAAGAGCAGGUACUAGCACAUACAUGGACCAUCUUUCCAUUGACUUCCUGUUAAGAGACAUCUCCUUCCAGAUACAGCCCUGUCUCUUUUUUGUCUAACCAUCAGGUUACCAGAUCUAUAUAUUUUUCUUGCUUAUUUGGAUCAAUUUUAAACAACACAUGGAAGGUUUCUUCUGAGGCACUUGGUCAAGAAAAUACAUCCAAAUACUCAUCUAAUGAAAAUAUGACAGGAAGUGUUUAGCUCCCCCCCGUUAUUCAUCAAAUCUUAGUCCUCCCUAAGAGACCCAAAAGCUUAAUUUGUUGUACAGGCUAUGCCGUAAGGUUUCCUCUGCUUUUAAUUGUACAAAUUGUAUCUGGUGUUUUCUGUUGCCACAGUGCUUUGUGAUGAGUGCUGCAGGGAGAGGUUGAGAGGGUGUGCCAACCCCAUUCCUCUGCCAUAACCAAACAUGAUAUUCCAAGUGUUUAUGAUAGAUUGAAACUACAGUGACAAUAACUUUGCACAUGUGCUCCAGGCAUGCAUGUGCAUGCAUCAUGGCAAGGCUCUGAAAAAAUUCCUGUUAAGUGUUUCCUCUGUCACCCUUUGUUUUAAGACCCUUACUAACAAUUCAAAAUAGAAAGUAUUUCUUGUUGUGGACAUCAUCUCCAGUUCUCAGACAAUCAACAGAAAUACCAAAGUUUUCACAGUGGUGCUUUCCCCUGAAAAUACUUUCUUCAAAAUUUUUAUUCCAUAAAUUGUCUAUCUGCAAAAUUUGAGCCCAGUUGUGAUAGGCUUGUGGCAUCAUAUGAUAUAAUUUCUGUUAUCUAGAUUUGAUAAACAGGAAAGCAUUUCCUGCAAGAAUUGUCGCACGUGCAUUUUUGGUGAUAAUCUCAUGGGGGAAUAUUCAAACGACUUUACUAAUUCAUUUUCUCUGGGCAUUCACUUCAAUGUUUCAGGAAAGAUUGAAAUGUCAAAGAGAAAUAGUGGCAUAGACAUAUGUAUUUACUUGCAGUUACAGAAGAUUCUUUGAUUAUUUUUUCAGUUCUGAUCUUCUGGAAUUUUAAAUAGAUUCAUGAAUUUUUAUGUGCCCACAAAGUACAAAAUCUCAUUUUGGUUGGUCACAGAAAUGUAAUUUAUCCUCACAGAUUUCAUCAGAGCUUCAUAUUUCAAGUCAGGUUAUCAGCACUCGAAUCUGUAGAACAGAAAUAGGAAUUCCAUGCGGUUUUUUUUUUUGAAGACUGAUUGGCUUUCUGCUGAGUUUACUAGACAAAGAAAUAUGCCAAACAUCUUUGUAUUUUAACCACAGAUUUGCAUUUUAUCAUUGUCUCAUUCCAAUUUGCUUAUUUCUCUUUUUUUUCUAGAGGCUGAGCUAUAAUUUUGUCUUAUAAAGAAAAUGUACUUCUCAUCAAAACCUUUUACAAGCCAUCAAAGAAAGAAUUAUAAUGAUAACUAAAAAAUAGCUGCUUUGGUUAGAGAAUGGACUAUCAUCUGUGAACAGGAGAUACAUUGAAUUAGGUACCAAAAUAAAUAAAGAAGAAAAAUACAUUUUAAAAGGUCACUUGAAUUUGAUAACACUUUUCUAUCCAAGUCAACGUACAAGACUCUUGUAGUGUUGCCAGUUCACACGAUUUAAGCUUUAAAAUUUCAAAAGUGAGCAUUCUGCUGUGAACCUUGAAAUUGGCCUGUUUGCAAAUCUUAGGCUGAAAUAUCAACAUCAUGUUGAGAAGUGUCCACUGAGAGCACAAGUGCAAAUCAUACAAUUUCUUCAGGGACACAAAUCAUCCAACUGGGAAUAGAAAUGGUAUCAGAUGACUCAGUUUCAAACCAAAGUAACCUGACAGUGAACAUUUACAAAUUCCUAAAUGGAGAACAUUUGGUAUGUUAACAUUGAAAGCAGGAGUGUUAAAAUCACUGGGUUCAAUACUUGCCGCAAACAACAGGGCAGACUGUUCAUAAAGAAGUUAAGAAACUCUCAGUAAUGAUUGCUUCAGAAAAGCAAGUGUGAUCUAUCUCUUUUCCCUCUGCAAGUCAGAGUGAAGAGGGAGGUUAGCACAGGGCUGUCACUAUCCUUUAGCAUAAAGACACCCAUCGCUCGCUGUAGAAGGUCCAUUACUAGUGCACAACAACAGCUAAUGCACUUAUACACUGGAUGUUGUGUUAUUAAUGGCCCUGCUAAUAGCUGGUGACAGUGAGAGAGUGAAUUUCCACAGUUCACAGCCCUUUGUAAGGCUUCUUCUGGAACAUUUCUCUCCACUAUCAUCACCCAGACUCCCCCUCUGACCUCUUUAUCAGUCAGUGAGUGGUACCAGAGGCUUAAGACACAUAAUCACAGCAGUGUGCCAUAUAUACUCUGCAGAACGGCACAAUACAGAGGGAAAAAUUAGAAAAAAAACCCAAAAACCAUUGCUUUAAAAAAUACAAGUUCCUUCCUGAGGUAAUGAUAAUGUAAUUUCAUUUCACUUUCUUCUUUUGUCCUUACUAACUUUACACAUAUUUUAAGAUUUCAUCUUCAAGUGAAUCUUCAUUUUAUAGAUAUGCAACCUGAUCUAAAAUUCACUGGGGUCAGUGAAAGUGCUGCCAUCAGAUUCAGUAGACUGGGAUCAAGUCUGUAUCUGCUUAGAGCUUUGAGUCCCCAUGCUGAACCUGGCUCAUCUAUGUAUUUGAAGAAUUUAAAAGUAACCUUAAAAGAAAACACUUUUGUGUUUACUUCCUCUUCUGCCUCCCUUUCAAGAGGAAAAGAAGUAGCUGCUCAUUUCAGUACUUCUGCAAUUGAAGGUAAAAUCAGCAGCUACAGGUUACAAUUUAUUUCAAGUCCACUUUGUGCUCAGCAAACCUUUGAAAAUGGAAGCUUUUCACUCGUCUCUUUGCUCCACAGACCAAGUGGUUGAGUGAAUCCCCAUUGUCUGGUACAGAUAAUGUUACACAGGUGAUGCUGAAGCCCAGUACUGUCUCUUGGACUGCUCUUCGUGUCUGCAGGAGCACCUGCAGUCUUCCAGGACCUUCAAAGCCUUGCACUUGGCCUUUCACAGAAACAUAUCUAAACAUGGUGCUGCUGGUGGUGGCUGUAACAGGAAGGGUAGCUGUAAUGUACUGCUCCAUCUGAGACAGUAGAGGCAACGAAUCUCACUAUUCCAUCUCUUGAAAUUGUCAAAGCUUAUUUGAGACACUUCCUUUACCACUCACACUACUAAUGGUUACUGUACUUCCAUAGAAAGCCUAGGUCGUAAGGUGGGCAAAACCAUUAGAGCUGUUAGAAGAGUUUUAAAAUACUCCUUUUUUUCAGGAGCAUCUAGAAGUUUGUAUUACAAAGCAAUUUCCAUAAUUAAAAGAUUGGUGGAGCUAUUUUCAAGCCUGCUUUACAGUAGAAGUAACUUCAAUCUUCCUGUUACUCUUUUCCGUGUUUUUAGACUGCUAGAAGAGCACUUAAAUGAAUCACUUAGGGUAUGUUCAAUUUUUUAAAUAAGUUCUUAAAGGAAUCUUUCGGUUGGUUUGUUUCCUUAAUGCUAAAUAAGUAUAUAGUCCUUAUUCAAACUCAGAAAAGCUGCUCAGUUAGCAUAAUGCAAAGAACUACCCUGGUUUGCACAAUAUUGCUCAGGUCUGGUCAAAUGGGAAGAAUAAAUAUACUUCCCCAUCACUCUCAGUUUGGUUUUCAUUGUUUAUUAAUGCCAGUGGUACAUUUCAGUUUUAUUAGGAGUCUUUGGGAAUUGAGGUGGUACCUUUUUCUUAGUUUUCUUUACCAGAAAUCCCAGCCCGAAGAGUCAGGUCAAUAUAUGAUGCACUUUGAUUAAGGGCACACAGGACACAGAACUUGUUCUAGAAGCACUAAGACUAAUGCUGCCUGGCUCCCCAAUAACAUCUCAUAUAAGUGAAGACGAUUCUGAUGCUUCAGCAGUUGGAGGAUCUCAGGGCUCUUUCUCUGUCUCAGCAUCUAAUUCUGGUCACCUACUUUAAUGAAAUUUGGAUAACCUUAAUUUUCUCAGAGAUUGCUAUUCCUCCAUCAUGUUGAUCGAUGAAUUCAAAGGAGAUGGGGCAGGUGGAGUGGUGAGAUGCAAGCAGAUGUAUGCAGAUCAUGAUAAAUGUCUAAUUUCUUUAUUAAAUCAGAAAGCAAAUCAGCUAUCAUUACAUUUUAGAAGAGUUUGGAUUUCUGCAGAUUUUGCAUGGCUCCCUGGGCUGGGCUGGAAGAGAGAAGCCCAAGGUAAAUGGUGGUUUUCCAGCCCAGCUUCUCAGUAGCUCCAUGGGAAGCUAUGGGCAGCUGCUCUGAGGCAGCCCCUUCUUUGCCCGGGACUAGACCUUGCCAGGUGCUGCACAUGCUGGCCCCACUCCAGCAAAGCACUUAAGCACAUGCUUAACUUUCAACACAUCAAUUACUCAUGGAGAAGUCAAGCCUGGAGAAGCUGCUGCUGCAGAAAUAGAAGUGAAAAGGAAAUGGGGAGGUGGUGACCUUAUUGCCUCUCUUUCCCAAGAGACCUGUCUGCAGACAUCAUUCAGGGCCUGGGGUAAAAUGAUCCCAGAGGCUAAUAGGUCAAUGACCUGCUACUCUGUCGCUGGCCUAGCCCCAACCUCUGCAAAAGAGAGGGGAAGGGAGAAGGGAAGAUCUGUACAGUUUGUCAGAUGUUAUCACACUUGAUAAGACAAAGCUUUGCUUUCAGGAAUUUUUCUUUCCUAGUUUGCUAUGAAAAAAGAUGGCAAUCCAGCAAUCUGUGGUGGCAAAGAGGAAACUCACGAUCUUUUGUUCUUGCUCUACCUCUCACGUCUGUGACAGGUUUCCUUUCUCCCUUAAGCUAUUCCAAUUUCUGGCUCUGCAUGUGUCAAAAUAAGUUUCCAAAACAAAUCACAAAUGUGUGGGGUAAUUAGAGAUGUCAUUUUGAUGUCACGGUGAAAGCACUUCCGUUCUCAAGAAGAAUGCAUCACCUGGUCAACAAUAUAUUGUAAUGAUGAUGAGAAAUAUGGGUUUUUUUUUGUUUGUUUGUUUGUUUGUCUUGCGUGUGUUUUUGUUUGUUGAUUUUUUUUUUUUUUUAUUGUGUUGGUUGGGUUUUCUUCUGUGUUUUUUUUUUCUCUUUUUUUGAGGGGUGUUGUUCUGGUAAUUUUUUGUUAUUGUUCUUUUCCUUUGUUUUCUUUUGUUUAAUUUCAUUUUUUUUUUCACUUGAGGGUUACGAUAAGGACAAAGAGGAGAAUUGCUGUAUUCAGCUGCCAUGCGAGCCCUUCUCUGUUUCAAAAACUCCUGGAAAUGCUGCUGAGAGCUAGAGAGAUAUGCAUAACCACUGAAACACAUAAAAGUGGCCCUAGAGUCACCUCCUCAGAAAUGUGGACAUCUAGCUGAAUUUAAACAAAAUUUAAAAAAAAUAUAUAUUCAAAAAUAACAUUCAGAAAAAUUGACACACAGGAAACUGAAAGGUAAGAUCCAUUCCUUCUGAUCUCCAGUGACAUGAAAAACUUCUUCUAAAUGUUUGGAGGAGUAUCUUUAAAAAGUACUGGAACAAACAGGCAUGCAGCCCAGAUCCUUACUCUUCCAGGGAGACCCUCAAGUGCACAUCUGAAGCUUGCUUCACAAUAAAGCCCAACACAAUGAUGACAUUCUCACCAGGAAUCUACUAUAUACUGUUCUCAUAGUUUGUCUUUAAUGUGAGCAUUUUGUAGUAAUGUCAACAUAUAUGGAGAUACUUAUUUCAAAGGCUCCUUCUGCAUGGGAGUUUAGGUGCACACAGAAAGAAAUUAUUUUCCCAGGAAACUGCCCUGCUUUAGUUUCUGUACUUCUGUGCCAUGCAUGACUCCCUGAUCUCAGUAAAAUUACAUCUUGCUCCCCAGUCUUUCCUAAGGUCCCAGCAGCAUCUCAGUCACAGGAAAUUUCAAUCAGAAUUGAAGCAAAACUAUGUUUUAGAUGUGGAAAGACUGAAAAUAAUUGGAAAGGUAUCUAAAAUGCAUACUGUGGGAUGGGAAGAAGAAUGGGCUUUCUAAUUGAGAUGCAGGACGCACUCAGAUUUGCUCUCUUUACUGCUGUCCAAUCCACUUUUGUUGAGUCAUUUGCUUUCAGCAUCUCUGGGCCUCCAGCUUCACAGAGAAUCACUAUGAAUCCUUUCUCCCAUCUUGCAAGCAUGUUUUGCAAUAUGGCCUUUUUAAAAAAAAAAAAAAAAUUGUGCAGGGAAGCACUACUCUGAGGCACAGAGCACAGAGAGGAGGCCUCUCUGAGGUGCAGUUUAGUGAAGUCACAGUAUCACAGAAUAGUUUGGGUUGGAACGGACCUUCAAAGGUCAUCUAGUCUAACCCCCUUCAAUGAUCAGGAACAUCUUCAAAUAGAUCAGGUUGCUCAGAGCCCCAUCCAGCCUGGCCCUGAACGUCUCCAGGGAUGGGGCAUCCACCACGUCUCCAUGCAAUCUGUUCCAGUGUUUUGCCGCCCUCAUUGUAAAAAAUUUCUCCGUCAUGUGUAGUCUGAAUGUCCCCUCUUUUAGUUUAAAGUCAUUACCCCUUGUCCUGUCAUAACAUGUUCUGCUAAAAAGUCUGUCCCCAUCUUUCCUAUACACCCCUUUUUAGCACUUAAAGGCUGAAAUAAGGUCUCCAAGUGGAAGUGGUUUGCCAGUGACAUCAGUUUAAGAAUUCCUGCCCAUCCCAUCUUCUUGUCCUUGCCUGUGUACUGCAAUUCACUGCCCUGUCAGUUGUGCCACUCUGAAUUUUGCUGAAAGAUGCUGAAAGCAGCUCAGGAAACUUAAUCUAGUUAAAAAGAACUCUCCUCUCCCCAACAUAAUUUCUCAUUUAGGUCAAUUUACUGAUAAGUACAGUGUAGUCCCAUCAACAGAUCCUAGCACAAGCAAGUGGGCUGUGAGAUGUAGCACAGGGGUGGGAACAAAGACUCUGGGAUUUCUUAAAUUAGUUUAGCCAGCAUUUCAUGUCACUGCAGCCUGAGUAAAACUUUUUGGACUGAAGAAGUGUAGAAAUGGUUAUAUGAGUCUGUGCUGCAACUCCAAUAUGAAACUUUGCCCUUCUGCAUGAGUCUUUGUUCCCACAGCAGCUCUUUGCAAACAUUAAGUGCUGUGUCCCUACAACACACCUGGCAGGCAGAUACAGUAUCCUCUUAUCAGAUGGGCAAAAUGAGCUUUAGAGUGAUCUCAGCCUUGCAGUGCAAGCCAAAGCGAGAGGCAGCGAGCAGCCAAGUUCUAGUUGCUGGACUGGCACUUUAGCUACCAGGCUUCUGCAGGGAACCAGUGGCCACUGAUAGAAACUACCAACAGAAAAAUGCUUCCAGCAGCAGUAAGAAUGGGGUGAGGAGUAACAAUGAUAUGACUUGCAGAUGGUUUUCAUUAAAUGGAAUUUUCAUUGGAUUAAAGAUACCAUUUGGAGUCUACAGUGGAACUGCUUGAAAUACUUUAAUCUAAUCUUGAAGAGGCUUUUUGACCAAAUCCAACAUUUUGCUGGGAAUUUUUCAACUCCACUGAAAUUUCCUGAGGGAUUCUUGGUUUGAAACAAUAAAAAACCAAACCAAAACAAAACACAAAAAUGGUCAUUUCAAAA